rnacentral:rRNA from 1 species
GUGCCAGCAGCCGCGGUAAUACGUAGGUGGCAAGCGUUGUCCGGAUUUACUGGGCGUAAAGGAUGCGUAGGCGGAUAUUUAAGUCAGAUGUGAAAUACCCGGGCUCAACUUGGGUGCUGCAUUUGAAACUGGAUAUCUAGAGUGCGGGAGAGGUAAGUGGAAUUCCUAGUGUAGCGGUGAAAUGCGUAGAGAUUAGGAAGAACACCAGUGGCGAAGGCGACUUACUGGACCGUAACUGACGCUGAGGCAUGAAAGCGUGGGGAGCAAACAGGAUUAGAAACCCCAGUAGUCC